CUACGGAGUGCAGCAGUGGGGAAUAUUGCACAAUGGGGGGAACCCUGAUGCAGCAACGCCGCGUGGAGGAUGACGCAUUUCGGCGUGUAAACUCCUUUUAUAUGUCAAGAAAAUGACGGUAGCAUAUGAAUAAGCACCGGCUAACUCCGUGCCAGCAGCCGUGGUAAUACGGAGGGUGCAAGCGUUACUCGGAAUCACUGGGCGUAAAGGACGCGUAGGCGGGUUGGAAAGUCAGGUGUGAAAUCCUACAGCUUAACUGUAGAACUGCACUUGAAACUUCUAAUCUAGAGUAUGGGAGGGGGAGAUGGAAUUAGUGGUGUAGGGGUAAAAUCCGUAGAUAUCACUAGGAAUACCUAAAGCGAAGGCGAUCUCCUGGAACAUUACUGACGCUAAGGCGUGAAAGCGUGGGGAGCAAACAGGAUUAGAUACCCUUGUAGUC
rnacentral:rRNA from 1 species